AGGAGUAGACUCGACGACCAGCUGGGGAAGAGGGAGAAGAGAAAAGGAACGAGGGUUGAAGCCCUUUUCUAUUGUUUCGGUGUUACGUUCGUUUUCAUUGCUUAACCAUUUUGUUAUGGUUUAAGCUGUUAGCUUUUGGGUGAGUCUAGGAUUGCAGUGACAUUGAUUCUACUUGCAUAUAUUUCAAAUUCAUUGUAUAUAAUGACUUCCAUACCAUCAAAAAACAUGUGGAUAAGGAGGCAGCAAUGUCCAUGUGGGGACUGGAAAUGUUAUGUAACAUAUGAAGGCGAUGCUGAAACAUCAAUAACAUCCCAGAUGGUAAAAGCUGAAUCAUCUCAGUCCGAAUCCAUGGUUGCUCCUUAUGUUGGAAUGGUGUUUAAGACCGAUGAGGAUGCCUUCGAGUAUUAUGGGAAUUUUGCUAGGAAAAAUGGGUUUUCAAUUAGAAAAGAGAGGUCUAGAUUGAGCCCCCAAUUGGGUAUUUAUAAGCGUGAUUUUGUUUGCUAUCGUUCUGGGUUUGCACCUGUGAGGAAAAAGCCUUCUGGGGAACACCAUAGGGAUAGGAAAUCUGUACGGUGUGGAUGUGAUGCAAAGAUGUAUUUGUCAAAGGAGGUAAUAGAUGGAGUUUCUCAAUGGUUUGUUGUACAAUUUAGCAAUGUUCAUAAUCAUGAACUUUUAGAAGAUGACCAAGUUCGUCUCUUGCCUGCAUAUAGGAAGAUUCAUGAGGCAGAUCAGGAGAGAAUUUUACUACUUUCAAAAGCUGGGUUUCCCAUACAUCGUAUAGUGAAGGUUUUGGAGUUGGAAAAGGGCAUUCAAGGUGGUCAAUUGCCUUUUUUGGAGAGAGAUGUUAGGAAUUUUGUUCAAAACCGGAAGAAAGUGGUUCAAGAAAAUGAUGCUUUGCUCAAUGAGAAAAGAGAAAAUGAUACAAUGGAACUUCUUGAGGCAUGUAAGGCAACAAAAGAGGCAGAUCAAGACUUUGUUUAUGAUUUUACAGUAGAUCAGAAUGAUAAGGUUGAGAACAUUGCUUGGUCGUAUGGUGAUGCUGUUAAUUCAUAUGCCAUAUUUGGUGAUGUCAUUUAUUUUGACACCACUUAUAGAUCAAUUACAUAUGAUAUGCUUUUUGGGGCAUGGAUUGGAAUUGACAACAAUGGCCGACCGAUUUUCUUUGGUUGUGUUUUAUUGCUGGAUGAAACACUGCGCUCCUUUGCAUGGGCUUUGCAGAUGCUUAUCCGCUUCAUGAAAGGGAGAUGUCCACAGACAAUUUUAACCGAUCUUGAUCCAGGGCUUAGAGAUGCUAUAAGAAGUGAAUUACCAACCGCUAAACAUGUUACGUCUAUAUGGAGCAUACUUCCCAAGGUAUCUAGCUGGUUCUCUCUUCAGCUCGGAUCUCAGUAUUCAGAAUUUAAAUCCGAGUUUGAUGCAUUAUAUCAUCUGGAGAGUACUGAGGAUUUUGAACUACGAUGGAAUCAAAUGGUUUCCAUAUUUGGACUUGGGUCAGAUAAACACAUUGCUUUACUUUACUCUCUUCGUACAUCUUGGGCGCUAUCAUAUGUGAGAGGCUAUUUUCUUGCUCGAAUUGCGACGGCAGCCUAUUCAAAGUCUGUAGAUGCAUUCUUGAAAGGGAUCUUCAUUACUCAGUCAUGUUUACGCCGAUUUUUUGAGCAGGUUGGUGUUGCAGCCAAUUUACAAAACCAGCGACAUCCAGAAGUGCAGUAUUUGCAUAUGAAAACAUGCUUACCUGUUGAAGAGCAUGCACGGCAAAUUCUUACACCCUUUGCCUUCAAUGCUCUACAACAUGAAUUAAUAGCGAGCAUGCAGUAUGCUGCACAUGCUGCAUCAGAAAUGGCUAAUGGAUCAUAUCUUGUACGUCAUUUCAGAAAGAUUGAUGGGGAAAGUCUUGUUAUAUGGAUUCCAGAAGAUGAACAGAUUCACUGUUCAUGUAAGGAGUUUGAAUCUUCUGGGAUAUUAUGCAGACAUGCUCUUCGUGUAUUUAUAGAUAAGAACUACUUUCAACUUCCUGAAAAAUAUUUUCUAAGUAGAUGGCGAAGAGAAAGCUCUCUGAUGUUUUAUGAUGAUCAUUCUGUUCAUGAUAAUGAUGAUGAAUGGUUUCAAGAAUUCCAGUCCUUAACCGAAACUCUAUUUACAGAAUCAACCAUUACAAAAGAGCGCUCUGAUUACAUUCGUAGAGAGCUGACAAAGGAGCUCACAAGACUUCUCAAUGAGGUUCGAGAUAUGCCAGAGAGUGAUGGAGCUCCCAUGGAAUUUACGCUUUCCCCUACUGGUUAAUCGUGGAGUGGUUCAAGCUGCUCUCCAGAGUAAAUGGAAACACUGGAUACUUCAUUAACGAAAGUGAUAACCAAUUAAAAGAAACUGUACCAUCAAGCUGAUCUUGUCACUGUCGGUGUGCAUUCAAUUUCUAUACGCAAGUGGGAAUUUUCUAUUUUGAGAAUGAAUGAUAAUCAGAAAUAGAUGCUGGAGAAUAUAUUGUUGGCUGGCUAUUGACAAAUCAUCAUAAUUUCCUUCAUGAAGGACAUUGCAAAGAAUGUAGAUUGGCAAACAAGGAUGUGAAUUUACAUAAGGUAGCCUGCAAUGUGGGUUAGUGUUUUCUUCAGCUCUCGCCAUCCAUCAUGAAAACAAUAAAGCAAAGACCACAGAUGGGGAUACUAAUCUUCCCAUGCAUUUCUAAGUGAUAAAGCCGUUGGAAGUUGGGUUAUAAUGUUCUAUACAAUCUUGUCACUGUUUUCAUCCUAGGCGGCUUCAGGAGAAUAUUGACAAAUGUACACAACUUACUCUUGGCACUGCUUUGACGUGAAAUUUUGCUAAUGCAGCCAGUUGCAAGGAUAAUCUCCCUGCGUGAUGAUUGAAAGGCAGGAUCGUCAUGCCACCUUUAUAUUUUGAUUUCUCCUAGUGGUUUGCUUUCGACUUGACCUGAAUAAUAUUCUUGGAUCUGCACAAUUGAGAAGCCUACAAUUUUGCAUUAUCUAGACCCACAUCACAUGCCUUCCGUGGAGAUGAACAGGCUAGGUAUGGCAAAAUUGUACUGAUUUUGGUACUAUAGGAAAUUAUGCAUUCUUUUGCGAGAAAAAAAGCUGGUUGGUUUGAUUGUUAAACUGUUCCAUACUGGAAUUAUUGAUAAUUAUUUGGACUCACUUUUUUUGUCUCCACUUGCGGACAAAUGAAAUAAGUUUGCUGUAGUUGCAAUGAUGCCACUGUGGGAUCCUUCUGAACAUCUACCUCCCUCCCUCCAUAGCUGGUCUGCCUUUGCAGGUAUGAAUUUGAGAUGAUUAAUUCAAUUUGAUCUGGAGGCACAAGGGUCCCUCUGCUAACUGCUGACAUUGUCCACGAUAUUUAUUGCUCGUAAAUAACACUAAUGGAAUGAAAAUGAAAGGUGCAUGUAUUUCCAGCCACAUGAGUGUCGGAACCCCAUCGAAGGGAGUUUUUUGUUUUUUUUGGGUAACUGUACAAAGUGGUCCAUGACAAAUGGGCAAAACUGAUCGUUAUCAUCUAUCAAACUAGAAGAGUAUAUGAUUUAAUUAUCUUUUGUUCUCACAUGUGAUGUAUAUCAACUCAAUAAACUCAAAAACUUCCUGCUCUUGAUAUUUUUGGUGUACAUGGGCUGCUAGCUAGUGCUUUUAUGUUUAUAAAUGCAUUUAAUUAAAUAUUAAUUUUCUUCUAGUAUUAGCCUGAAAUCUUGUGAUGGCCGUACAAGCUUUGUGUUUAUGCGGGUAUGACCAAUAUAUGGCUCACCUCACCUGGGAAUCGGAUCAUCUACAGUCUCUUUUCUUUGAAACCCAUUAUUAUGAGUAUCAACUUGUGGCAGGCAUGCUCCGCAGCAAGAAAUGGACACGUGGAAAGUUGUGUCAGCUUCAUUUGGUGUUAUUUUUCGGUCUUUAUAAUGAAAUCAUGAUAUGCUACCGAUUAAAGAAAACCAAUUGUUUUUCCUUUAUGUUUUUGAAUUUUUCGUAAGAAUUGGAUCUAAGAUUUCUUUUAGUCAAUUUCAUUGAAAUUUCAGUGAAAUCUUUUGUGGGUCUUACCAAAUCAUGUGGUAAUUAAAGUCUCAUUAAUAUCUCAUCUCAUCACGUUUCAUUUAUUUCUUUACUACUGUUUUGUGUCCUCUGCCUGCGUUGCCUGAAGAUAUUGGAGGGCUUGUCUCCCGGAAAGGUUGUUCGCGGACAUAUGACUCAAAGGAGACUUGCCAGGCAGGCGCAGCUGCUAUUGCCACCAAAAACUUUUCAUCAAGAGAAAUAGCCGGUGAAGAUUUCAUCACUUUAUCGUUUACAACAGCUAUUAUUUUCACUGCAGAAUGUAAAAGAGGAGCAGAAAAUAUCCAAAUUUGAAGUUUUUACACACCGUAUUCGCCACUUCAACUAGGUUUUUAAGUGGCCAAUCAGUUCUCUAUUGAUAUUUAUGAGACCGACUGAGUGAAAUGGUUUCUUAAUUUCUUUGGAGGUAGUUGAACAGGAGAGAGAUGAUUUAUAUCUAUCUAGGAGACUGAUUUCAAAAGAUGAGAUUGAGCUUAUACUAAUUAUAUAAUGUAUAAUACUUUGCCAGAAUUGGUGGAAUUAAAGUAAUGAAUUGAUUAGUACAUAAUGAUAUUCAAUCUGAAAAUAUAUAUCUUGGAUUGGA